CUCGUUACCCAGUGUGUUUAUGUAGUCUCUGUGUUUCCUCAUGGUUCAGUCUUACCUGAGUGUUCCCUUGUCUUCCUGUGCUCUGCUGUGUCCCGUGGAUUUAUUUAUCUGAGGCUCAGAAACCAUGUUACUGGAGUGCACAGACUUAGCCUGAUGAUGGCGCUCUAUGGACAGGAACUUGGCAUUCUUGAAGCUAUGCUGUCAGCAAUGCAGAAAGUAUCAGCUCCAGCAUGUUGUAAGACCACAGGAUAAUGUUCAUAGAGCCUCAUUCUGCCUCCUCCGACCCUCCACAGCGUAGGAAACCUUCUCCCUGAUGUUGACGUCCUCAUCAGAGAGAUGAACCCGUCACUCUGCCCGUGUUGCUGCCUUGCUCUGCACAUUAACCGGGACAGGCAGGAGGAGGAACCACGUAAAGUCGCCCAUGCAGAGCGAGUGUUUGAAGGUAUCUGGAGAAAAUGGCGUGGGUGCCUGCAGAGCGCCGUGAAACAAAGAGCAGCUCUGCCUGUGAGGAAAGUUUGGACCCUCUGUAAUCCCUCCUCCAGACGUCCUUGAUGCAGCCUGACCUGAACACCCAGUGCCGGUCUGACCCCAGACCGUCCUCCUCUCUGGCUCUCCGCCCGAGAGGUCGACGCAAGUUCUGCUGAAAAAGGAGAAUCCACGCUCUGUAAUAUCAUACGUGCGGUUAUUUAUUUCUGAGUGUGUGGAUGCUGCUUUCAUCUGUGACCUGUCCUCUGAGCCAUGCAGGAUAAACACCACCAAGCAAUAAAUCAAAGGGAAGGUGUUCAAAGGGGGAGCAGAGAAUAUACCAGAGACACAGAACAGUGUUUGUUUCAGUGUGAAACAAAGGAAGUGUUUAAUAAACUCAAACAGAACUUA